GUCCGUGUUUUCUGGAUUAUAAACUUCUUGUUUUUCACACUGUAAUGUAUUCACGCUCGUCCGAUCCGAGUCUUCUCCGGGCCGUCCGAGCUCUCUCCGACCGAAAAAAAAUAUUGCCAGUGACCGAUUUUCGUCCGAGCUCGGUCGGUUUUUGACGGACCGAUGUCGGAUCGGACACAAACACGAACACGUUCCGACUGGUUUCGGGACACACGGAAGUAUUCGUAAAACUUUGGUACGUCAUCAAUAAGUCCGAUGCACGUAUUGUGAAUUCGCCUUCGGUUUUCCUUUUUUUCCAAACAUCAUGGACCCGCGCGCAGUUCUUUUUUUUUAUAUUGUUUUACAAUUAUUUUCUUGUUCUUCGUCGAGCAAAAGUGCCAUUGCAAUUAAUUAUUCAGCGCUUAAUCCAAUCAUGACGAAAAUUCGAAUGAAAAAAUUACUAGAUCGACGUCUGUUUCAUACGACAACGCUCG